UUGUUGUGUAGGGAAGUAUUCCAGGCAGACAUCUUUCCCUCCCUGCAUUCUGCUUCCGCUCCAGACUCCAGUUCCCUUCAGACCAUCUCU